rnacentral:rRNA from 1 species
GACAGAGGUGCCGAGCGUUAGGCGGAAUCACUGGGCUUAAAGCGUGUGUAGGCGGGGGCCUAAGUACCUUGUGAAAUCCCACGGCUCAACCGUGGAACUGCUUGGUAUACUGGGUAUCUUGAGCCACUUAGGGGCAACCGGAACAAACGGUGGAGCGGUGAAAUGCGUAGAUAUCAGGAGGAACACCGAUGGCGAAGGCAGGUCUCUGGGCCACUACUGACGCUGAGAAGCGAAAGCAUGGGGAGCGAACAGG